rnacentral:rRNA from 2 species
UCUGGUAAUGAUGGCAGAGAGGUCACACCCGUUCCCAUACCGAACACGGAAGUUAAGCUCUCUAGCGCCGAUGGUAGUU